rnacentral:ncRNA from 2 species
AAUUUUGAUGGUCGAGAUUUGACCGUAUUGCAUCGACGUAAAACAAAUGCUAAAAAGGCAUAGCCUCUGCAUUU